GAGCCGCGGAUCACGCCACGCGAUGGCCCAGUUAUCCGCCUCGCGUCUCGCCUUCCCCAUCCUCUCCGCAGUCCAGAGCUCACAGUCCCUCCGAUCUACGGGGACAUGGCGGCGCUUCUCACCGUUCCCUCCUUUUCCUCCUCCACCCUGUCUGCUCGCACCCCUCUUCGUCACAGUUCGCCGGCCGUCCGAGCUCCUCCACCCUUCUCUUGUCACUAUUGCCGAAGUCGUAGUGCCUCCGAGCGGAGGAGGCUUACAGUCAAGGCGGCAGAGACCGACGCCAAGGAAGCAGUCAAAGCUGUGGCACCCGAGAAGGCGCCGUCAAGUGGUGGGUCGAGCCUCAAUCAGCUUCUUGGCAUCAAGGGUGCGGCUCGAGAAUCGAAUAAAUGGAAGAUACGUCUUCAACUUACAAAACCAGUCACUUGGCCUCCACUAGUGUGGGGAGUGGUUUGUGGAGCUGCUGCUUCCGGAAAUUUUCAUUGGAAUAUUGAAGAUGUUGCUAAAGCUAUUGUAUGUAUGAUAAUGUCUGGACCUUGUCUAACAGGAUAUACACAGACAUUGAAUGACUGGUACGACAGAGAAAUUGAUGCAAUUAACGAGCCUUAUCGUCCUAUUCCUUCAGGAGCAAUUUCUGAGGGUGAGGUUAUAACCCAAAUUUGGUUGCUUCUUUUAGCUGGCCUUGGAUUGGCAGGCCUGUUAGAUGUGUGGGCAGGGCACAAAUCUCCUGACAUAUUUUUUUUGGCUGUGGGUGGAUCUCUUCUCUCUUACAUAUAUUCAGCGCCUCCUCUUAAACUCAAGCAGAAUGGCUGGAUUGGAAAUUUUGCUUUAGGAGCAAGUUACAUCUGUUUGCCAUGGUGGGCUGGUCAAGCACUCUUUGGAACUCUUACACCUGAUAUAAUUGUCUUGACCCUCCUUUAUAGCAUAGCUGGGCUUGGAAUUGCAAUAGUAAAUGAUUUUAAAAGCAUUGAAGGAGACAGGGCUUUGGGACUUCAGUCACUUCCAGUUGCUUUUGGCAUGGAUACUGCUAAAUGGAUUUGCGUAGGUGCUAUAGAUAUUACCCAGUUCUCAGUUGCAGCAUACCUCCUUGGUGCUGAUAAGACAUUCUAUGCACUAGCAUUGCUUGGACUGAUUCUCCCGCAAAUAUAUUUUCAGUUCCAAUACUUCUUGAAAGAUCCUGUUAAGUAUGAUGUGGAGUAUCAGACUAGUGCUCAGCCCUUCCUGAUCCUAGGUUUGCUAGUCACAGCCUUGGCGACCAGUCACUGAUUCACUGGGGCAUCUUCUUGCUCAGUGAUUUUGUAAUUAUCGGCGUGGUUUGGUUCUCAAUAUUCACAUAACUGUUCUAAAUGGAAUAGCGCGCCCCCAACAACAAUAUGAGCAGCUAUUCCUUGACUGGUAUAAAUUGCAAAAGGCUGUUAGAUCGAGAUCCUUUGGCAGAAAUGUUUAGUGACAUGGGAUGCUUAAAAAGGAGAUACUAUGAGAAAUCAAAAUCUGCUUUAUCUAUCUACGAAUGAUGAAUUAUCUGCUUUCUCUGCAAAUAAUAAAGCUAUACUAAGCUAGCACCUUAUUGGUGCUGUAAAGGGAAGAGAUUUUUAUA